GCAUAUCCAAUAAAGCCGGAAGGAAAAAAGAAAACUAACAAAGGAUUCCCCCUAGUAACUGCGAGUGAAGCGGGAAAAGCUCAAAUUUAAAAUCUGGUGGUCUUUGGCCAUCCGAGUUGUAAUCUAGAGAAGUGUUAUCCGCGCUGGACCGUGUACAAGUCUCCUGGAAUGGAGCGUCAUAGAGGGUGAGAAUCCCGUCUUUGACACGGACUACCAGGGCUUUGUGAUGCGCUCUCAAAGAGUCGAGUUGUUUGGGAAUGCAGCUCAAAAUGGGUGGUAAAUUCCAUCUAAAGCUAAAUAUUGGCGAGAGACCGAUAGCGAACAAGUACCGUGAGGGAAAGAUGAAAAGAACUUUGGAAAGAGAGUUAAACAGUACGUGAAAUUGCUGAAAGGGAAACGCUUGAAGUCAGUCGCGUUGUCUGGGGAUCAACCUUGCUUUUGCUGGGCGUACUUUCCAGAUGACGGGUCAGCAUCAAUUUUGACCGUUGGAUAAAGAUUAGAGGAAUGUGGCAUCUUCGGAUGUGUUAUAGCCUUUGGUUGUAUACAACGGUUGGGAUUGAGGAACUCAGCACGCCGCAAGGCCGGGUACUUGUACCACGUUCGUGCUUAGGAUGCUGGCAUAAUGGCUUUAAUCGACCCGUCUUGAAACACGGACCAAGGAGUCUAACAUGCCUGCGAGUAUUUGGGUGGUAAACCCGAGUGCGUAAUGAAAGUGAAAGUUGAGAUCCUUGUCAUGGGGAGCAUCGACGCCCGGACCAGACCUUUUGUGACGGAUCUGCGGUAGAGCAUGUAUGUUGGGACCCGAAAGAUGGUGAACUAUGCCUGAAUAGGGUGAAGCCAGAGGAAACUCUGGUGGAGGCUCGUAGCGAUUCUGACGUGCAAAUCGAUCGUCAAAUUGGGUAUAGGGCGAAAGACUAAUCGA
rnacentral:rRNA from 1 species